UAGUACACUGGCUCUUCCCCAUC
rnacentral:misc_RNA from 1 species